rnacentral:piRNA from 1 species
GAGGAUGGUAGAUGUGUUAGACCAAAUGGG